GCGGAAGUGGCGGAAUGGCAGACGCGCUAGCUUGAGGGGCUAGUGGGAGCAAUCUCGUGUGGGUUCAAGUCCCAUCUUCCGCA
rnacentral:tRNA from 1 species